UGAGCUACCUCAGUUGGUAGAGCAUGAGACUCUUAAUCUCAGAGUCAUAGGUUUGACCUCCACAUUGGGCAAAA